GACGGAGGAUGCAAGUGUUAUCCGGAAUCACUGGGCGUAAAGCGUCUGUAGGUGGUUUAAAAAGUCUACUGUUAAAAAUUGAAGCUUAACUUCAAAGAUGCCGUAGAAACUUUUAAACUUGAGGAUGGUAGGGGUAGAGGGAAUUUCCAGUGGAGCGGUGAAAUGCGUAGAUCUUGGAAAGACCACCAAUGGCGAAAGCACUCUGCUGGGCCGACACUGACACUGAGAGACGAAAGCUAGGGGAGCGAAUGGG
rnacentral:rRNA from 1 species